UACGAAGGGUACUAGCGUUGUUCGGAAUUACUGGGCGUAAAGCGCGCGUAGGCGGCUUUUCAAGUCAGGGGUGAAAUCCCACGGCUCAACCGUGGAAUUGCCUUUGAAACUGUGAAGCUAGAGUGUCGGAGGGGAUAGCGGAAUUGCUAAUGUAGAGGUGAAAUUCGUAGAUAUUAGCAGGAACACCGGUGGCGAAGGCGGCUAUCUGGACGACAACUGACGCUGAGGCGCGAAAGCGUGGGGAUCAAACAGG
rnacentral:rRNA from 1 species